rnacentral:lncRNA from 1 species
AAAAAAUUCUCGGCACUCUUAGUCUCUUUUUCCCACAUCAACCCUGUUGUUCAUAUGCACAAAUGAUAUGGACUAUCCCACUGUCUGGUUUUGUUUAUCUUUCAGUAAAAAUAUCCAUAGUAUUCAGUCUUACGCCCCUCGUCGUCACUGUAGAGGGGAGUGACAGAGUUCAGAAAAUGAGCAGGGCAGCCUGGAACAUUGAGAUCUUACAGGCACAGCCAUCAGCAUUUUGCUCAUGGUACAUAGUGGCUCAUGGCAUUAUGGUUUGACAUAACUUGUGCAAGUAAUAAACAUGUCUUUGAUGCUGAUUCUGAUGUAACAAAUGUGGUUAAUGGACACAAGAUCCCUUAGCCAACAUUUAAUAAAGUGAAAAGUGUACAAAACCACACAUUAUCAGAAGGAGUUGUAAUGACAAGUUGAUGUACAGUAGACCUCUAAAGAGAUAUCGUAAUAGACGCAAGGCCUCUUUGGGUGCUGUUAAACACCCAUAAGGGUGUGGUAGUCGGAAAAUGCUAUCAUUCAUUGAUGAUAACUGUAAAAGUUAUCGCUGGUUCUGUUAUGUUUAUCUGUGAGUCUUAUCAGUGACCGGCCUGGACAGAUCACUUAAUGAUCACCUGUUAAAGCUUGAUUUGUGCAUCUGCUGUCCAACCUAACCCUCACUGAGUCUUAAAGUAACUGUCUCGAGUUUCUAGAUUUCUAUGAAAUAUGACCUAUAAUUACAAUAUGAGUGAAAAAGAUUUCCUUCCAAAAAAAUGGUAAUUAAAAAGCAGCUUUUCUGUGUUUGAAUGGCGUGUGUCACGUUCUUGAAAGUGAGCGGACCAAGGCGCAGCGUGAGUAUAGUUCCACAUAUUUAUUUAAGUGAAACUAACAAAAACAACAAAACUUACAAAGACCGUGAGGACGUAGUGCCCAAACACACUAACAAUCAAUAUCCCACAAAACACAGGUGGGGAAAUAGCUACCUAAAUAUGAUCCCAAUCAGAGACAACGAUAAACAGCUGCCUCUAAUUGGGAACCAUAUUAGCACCAACAUAGAAAUAAACAUACUAGAUCACCCCCUAGUCACGCCCUAACCUACUACACCAUAGAGAACCAAGGGCUCUCUAUGGUCAGGGCGUGACAGUACCCCCCCCCCCAAAGGUGCGGACUCCGGCCGCAAGACCUGAAACCAAAUGGGGAGGGUGGGGGGAGGUGAUUAGUGUCGGUGGCGGCUCCGGUGCAGGUCGAAGCCCACGCCCAGACCCCGGAUCCGGCCAUUGCGCCGGGCUGAAUGCCUUGCCUGGACUGGGCAUCGGCACAAAGGAAGACUCCAGCCAUGGAGCUGGGUUGGACGCUGUGCCUAGACUGGGCACCGGCGCAAAGGAGGACUCCGGCCCUGGAGCUGGGUUGGAUGCCGUGCCUGGACUGGGCACCGGCGCAGAGGAAGGCUCCGGCCUUGGAGCUGGACUGGACGCCGUGCCUGGAUUGGGCACCGGCGCAGAGGAAGGCUCCCGCCCUGGAGCUGGACUGGACGCCGUACCUGGACUGGGCAUUGGCGCAGAGGAACGCUCCCGCCCUGGAGCUGGACUGGACGCCGUGCCUGGACUGAGCACCGGCACAGAAGAAGGCUCCGACCAUGGAGCAGGACUGGACACUGUGCCUGGACUGGGCAUCGGCGCAGAGGAAGAUUCCGGCCUUGGAGCUGGACUGGACACCGUGCCUGGAAGCUCCGCACCGUUGACCGUCGCUGGAGGUUCCGGUCCGUGGACCGUGGCAGGAGGUUCCGGACCGUGAAGCGUCGCGGGAGGUUCCGGACUGGGAACCGUCGCCGGAAGCUCUGGACUGGGAAUGCGCACUGGAGGCCUAGUGCGUGGAGCCGGUACAGGUGGCACCGGACUGGUGACACGCACUUCAGGGCGAGUGCGGGGAAUAGGCACAGGAUGUACCGGACUGGGGACACGAACUUCAGGGCGAGUGCGAGAAGCAGGCACAGGACGUACCGGACUGGGGACACGCACUUCAGGGCGAGUGCGAGGAGCAGGCACAGGACGUACUGGACUGGGGACACGCACUGGAGGCCUGAUGCGUGGGGCCGGCACAGGUUGCACCGGACUGGUGACCGGAUCUUCUGGUUGAAUGUUGAGCAGAACACACUUGCACAACAUCUCUCUCUCCCAACUUCUCCAUUGCCUCCCUGACAGUCUCUGGCUCUUCCCGCGGCUCAGCCGCCAGCUCCAUGUGCCCCCCCCCAAAUAAAUCUUGGGGUUUCUGUGGCUGUGGUCUGACGACACGCGCCUCCGGAGUUUGCCAUUCGGCUCUGGCACUCUCCUCGGCUCAACCGGCCAGCCCUUGUGCCCCCCACCCAAAAAACUUGGGGUUGUCCUUUGGCUUUCUGUGGCUGCGAACCCUGGCGUUGUCGCUGUCCUUCAUUAUUACCUUCCGUCUGCCGCCAAGGGAGGGUUUCGCAUCCACCCAUCACUUCUUCCCAUGUCCAAAACUCCUUUACCUGGUGAACACGCUGCUUGGUCCUGGUUUGUUGGGAUAUUCUGUCACGUUCUUGGUAAUGAGCGGACCAAGGCGCAGCGUGAGUAUAGUUCCACAUAUUUAUUUAAGUGAAACUAACAAAACAACAAAACUUACAAAGACCGUGAGGACGUAGUGCCCAAACACACUAUCAAUCAAUAUCCCACCAAACACAGGUGGGGAAAUAGCUACCUAAAUAUGAUCCCCAAUCAGAGGCAACAAUAAACAGCUGCCUCUAAUUGGGAACCAUAUUAGCACCAACAUAGAAAUAAACAUACUAGAUCACCCCCUAGUCACGCCCUAACCUACUACACCAUAGAGAACCAAGGGCUCUCUAUGGUCAGGGCGUGAUAGCGUGGGCGUGCCCCAAUGACAGAAUAGUGUGGGCGUAUACCGGUCAUUAAAAAUAUUAAUGCGAGUAGACCGCUGACUGGCCAUUUCAUUUCACUAUCCUCUGUGAGGAAAUAGCAAGCAUUUUUAAAACUGUCUGUUCGAGAUACAAGUUUGAGGUGGGGUUUUUGAAGUGUUUUUUUCCCCCCUCCAAUGUAUGCUUUGGCCACAUACGAGUAUAGGAUGAGUCAAUAACGUUAUUUGGGUAUGAGUUAACAGAAUAUGAACUUUUAAAAGUGAUAUUUUCACAGGACAGUUACUUUGAUGGUUUUUGAGUGGUUUAAGAUUAUGUUUGCAGUGUAGCCUAACUUGGGAAGUUUUAUCUUUGCAGGUUUGUCCCCAACCUGACCUGAAAUGGUUGACAUGUACAAUUUUCCAAUUGCAAUUAGAGAGGGAGAAAAACAUUGCAAGCCAUGCUCACGGUGAUGUCUGUAAGCAUGUUCAUGACGGUCCAAUGGACCUGGUUUAAAUUCAAAAACCAUACAAUCUGUGUACGAUGACAUUGUAACAAAAUCGGCUUCCUUUGGGAAACCUGCUAUGCUCAUCAACAUAUGUUUGAAAUACAUUUUGAAUACAUUUUUUGAAAGUACAUUUUUCACUAACACUUUACUGAAAGCAGACAUGUACAAUGGAUUAUUAUGCAAUUAUAAUAAUUAAGAACAUUUCUGUUACACUUAAAAUGGA